UACGUAGGGUGCGAGCGUUGUCCGGAAUUACUGGGCGUAAAGAGCUCGUAGGUGGUUUGUCGCGUCGUCUGUGAAAUUCCGGGGCUUAACCUCGGGCGUGCAGGCGAUACGGGCAAUACUUGAGUGCUGUAGGGGAGACUGGAAUUCCUGGUGUAGCGGUGAAAUGCGCAGAUAUCAGGAGGAACACCGAUGGCGAAGGCAGGUCUCUGGGCCACUACUGACGCUGAGAAGCGAAAGCAUGGGGAGCGAACAGGAUUAGA
rnacentral:rRNA from 1 species